rnacentral:rRNA from 1 species
AGCCCGGCGAAAGCCGGAUUAAUACCGCAUACGAUCUACGGAUGAAAGCGGGGGACCUUCGGGCCUCGCGCUAUAGGGUUGGCCGAUGGCUGAUUAGCUAGUUGGUGGGGUAAAGGCCUACCAAGGCGACGAUCAGUAGCUGGUCUGAGAGGACGACCAGCCACACUGGGACUGAGACACGGCCCAGACUCCUACGGGAGGCAGCAGUGGGGAAUUUUGGACAAUGGGCGAAAGCCUGAUCCAGCAAUGCCGCGUGUGUGAAGAAGGCCUUCGGGUUGUAAAGCACUUUUGUCCGGAAAGAAAUCCUUGGCUCUAAUACAGUCGGGGGAUGACGUACCGAAGAUAGCUGU